AGGCUUUAAAAGGAGUCAACCUUUAAUACAGUAAGACAUUACAUUAUUUAGUCACAAACUUCCCUUUUAGUAACUCAGAUUAUGAACAUAGUUAUUAGUGAUUAUGGUGUAUCUCAAGUAGACAUUGUAUUGUACUUGUUUACCAAUUCAUGUUAGUCAUGAUAGACCUAUACGUAAAUAUAUAUAGUUUAACUGUCUUAACAUCUACAACAUCAGUUUAACUGUCUUAACAUCUACCACAUUAGUUUAAUUGUC